rnacentral:misc_RNA from 1 species
GAUGAAGAACGUAGUGAAAUGCGAUAAGUAAUGUGAAUUGCAGAAUUCAGUGAAUCAUCGAAUCUUUGAACGCACAUUGCGCCCCCUGGUAUUCCGGGGGGCAUGCCUGUUCGAGCGUCAUUUCACCACUCAAGCCUCGCUUGGUAUCGGGCAACGCGGUCCGCCGCGUGCCUCAAAUCGACCGGCUGGGUCUUCUGUCCCCUAAGCGUUGUGGAAACUAUUCGCUAAAGGGUGUUCGGGAGGCUACGCCGUAAAACAACCCCAUUUCUAAGGUUGACCUCGGAUCAGGUAGGGAUACCCGCUGAACUUAAGCAUAUCAAUAAGCGGAGGA